rnacentral:rRNA from 1 species
UACAGAGGUCUCAAGCGUUGUUCGGAUUCAUUGGGCGUAAAGGGUGCGUAGGUGGCGCGGUAAGUCGGGUGUGAAAUUUCGGAGCUUAGCUCCGAAACUGCAUUCGAUACUGCCGUGCUUGAGGACUGGAGAGGAGACUGGAAUUUACGGUGUAGCAGUGAAAUGCGUAGAGAUCGUAAGGAAGACCAGUGGCGAAGGCGGGUCUCUGGACAGUUCCUGACACUGAGACACGAAGGCCAGGGGAGCAAACGGG